rnacentral:rRNA from 1 species
UACGUAGGGUGCAAGCGUUGUCCGGAAUUAUUGGGCGUAAAGAGCUCGUAGGCGGUUUGUUGCGUCGGCUGUGAAAUCCCGAGGCUCAACCUCGGGUCUGCAGUCGAUACGAGCAAACUAGAGUGUUGCAGGGGAGACUGGAAUUCCUGGUGUAGCGGUGAAAUGCGCAGAUAUCAGGAGGAACACCGGUGGCGAAGGCGGGUCUCUGGGCAACAACUGACGCUGAGGAGCGAAAGCGUGGGAAGCGAACAGG